rnacentral:rRNA from 1 species
UACGUAGGGGGCGAGCGUUGUCCGGAUUUAUUGGGCGUAAAAGGCUUGUAGGUGGCCACGUCAAGUCGGAUGUGAAAUCUCCCGGCUCAACUGGGAGGGGUCAUUCGAUACUGGCGGGCUCGAGGCUGGUAGGGGGAAGCGGAAUUCCCGGUGUAGUGGUGGAAUGCGUAGAUAUCGGGAGGAACACCAGUGGCGAAGGCGGCUUCCUGGACCGGUUCUGACACUGAGGAGCGAAAGCGUGGGGAGCGAGCCGG